rnacentral:rRNA from 1 species
GUAGGGAAUAUUGGGCAAUGGAGGCAACUCUGACCCAGCCAUGCCGCGUGCAGGAAGACGGUCCUCUGGAUUGUAAACUGCUUUUGAAUGGGAAGAAACGUAGCUUUGCGAAGCUAUUUGACGGUACUAUUAGAAUAAGCACCGGCUAACUCCGUGCCAGCAGCCGCGGUAAUACGGAGGGUGCAAGCGUUAUCCGGAUUUAUUGGGUUUAAAGGGUGCGUAGGCGGCUUUAUAAGUCUGGGGUUAAAGGCGGCAGCUUAACUGUACGCAUGCCCUGGAAACUGUGAAGCUUGAGUGACUUGGAGGUAGCUAGAAUUCCCUGUGUAGCGGUGAAAUGCAUAGAUACGGGGAGGAAUACCGAUUGCGAAGGCAUGUUACUACGAGUAAACUGACGCUGAUGCACGAAAGCGUGGGGAUCAAACAGGAUUAGAUACCCCUGUAGUCC